rnacentral:tRNA from 1 species
AAGGUUUUAAGUUAAUAAAACUAGUAGCCUUCAAAGUUUCCAAUAGGGGAAACCCCCUAAACCUUA